AUUGAACGCUGGCGGCAGGCCUAACACAUGCAAGUCGAACGAGUGGCGGACGGGUGAGUAAUGUCUGGGAAACUGCCCGAUGGAGGGGGAUAACUACUGGAAACGGUAGCUAAUACCGCAUACCAUCGGAUGUGCCCAGAUUGGAUUAGCUAGUAGUUGGGGUAACGGCUCACCUAGGAGACGAUCCCUCGCUGGUAUGAGAGGAUGAACAGCCACAGUGGAACUGAAACACGGUCCAGACUCCUACGGGAGGCAGCAGUGGGGAAUCGUGCACAAGUGGCGCAAGCCGGAUGCAGCCAUGCCGCGUGUAUGAAGAAGGCUUUCGGGUUGUAAAGUACUUUCAGCGGUGAGGCGUUACUCUCAGAAGAAGCACCGGCUAACUCCGUGCCAGCAGCCGCGGUAAUUC
rnacentral:rRNA from 1 species